AGUGGCAAACGGGUGAGUAACGCGUGGGAACCUACCUUAUAGUACGGAAUAGUCCCGGGAAACUGGGUUUAAUACCGUAUAUACUCUCCGGAGGAAAGAUUUAUCGCUAUAAGAUGGGCCCGCGUUAGAUUAGCUAGUUGGUGAGGUAAUGGCUCACCAAGGCUACGAUCUAUAGCUGGUUUGAGAGGAUGAUCAGCCACACUGGAACUGAGACACGGUCCAGACUUCUACGGGAGGCAGCAGUGGGGAAUAUUGGACAAUGGGCGAAAGCCUGAUCCAGCAAUACCGCGUGAGUGUUAAGGCCUUAGGGUUGUAAAACUCUUUCAGUAGGGAAGAUAAUGACGGUACCUACAGAAGAAGCACCGGCUAACUCCGUGCCAGCAGCCGCGGUAAUACGGAGGGUGCUAGCGUUGUUCGGAAUUACUGGGCGUAAAGAGUGCGUAGGCGGUUUAACAAGUUGGGAGUGAAAUCCCGGGGCUCAACCUCGGAAUUGCUCUCAAAACUGUUAGACUAGAGUAUGGUAGGGGAUAGUGGAAUUCCUAGUGUAGGGGUGAAAUCCGUAGAUAUUAGGAGGAACACCAGAGGCGAAGGCGACUAUCUGGGCCAUUACUGACGCUAAGGCACGAAAGCGUGGGGAGCAAACGGGAUUAGAUACCCCGGUAGUCCACGCCGUAAACGAUGGGUGCUAGUUAUUGGGGCU
rnacentral:rRNA from 1 species